CAUGUCCUUUUGAUAAUGAUUUAAGGUCUGACCUGCUCGAUGAGUGAUUAAAUUGCCGCAGUAUUUUGACUGUGCAAAGGUAGCAUAAUAAUUAGUCUUUUAAUUAGGGGCUGGAAUGAAGGGUUGGACGAGAGAGUGUCUGUCUUUAAUUUAUUUUUUAUUGAAUUUUAUUUUUGAGUUAAAAAGCUUAGAUGUGUUUAAAAGACGAGAAGACCCUAUAGAGUUUUAUAGUUGUUGAAUGUUAGAUGUUAGGAUUAUGGUAGUCGGGCAAUUAUUUAGUUGGGGUGACUUAAAGAUUGAUUUAAUUCUUUAUAUAUGUAGUUGAUGAUUAUUAAUUUUAUUAUCUAGGGAUUUUAAGUAAAGAUUAAUUACCUUAGGGAUAACAGCGUAAUUUUCUUUUGAAGUUCUGAUUUGAAGGAGAGUUUGCGACCUCGAUGUUGGAUUAAAAUAAAUUUAAGGUGUAGUGGCUUUAGAAUUUGGUCUGUUCGACCAUUAAAAUUUUACAUGAUCUGAGUUUAGACCGGCGUGAGCCAGGUUAGAUUCUAUCUUUAAGAGUUAAAAUUAUUCUAGUACGAAAGGACCGGGUAAUUAUUAUAUAUAGUUG
rnacentral:rRNA from 1 species